UACGAAGGGGGCUAGCGUUGUUCGGAAUUACUGGGCGUAAAGCGCGCGCAGGCGGUUCUUCAAGUCAGAGGUGAAAGCCCAGAGCUCAACUCUGGAAUGGCCUUUGAGACUAGAGGACUUGGGUACGGGAGAGGUGAGUGGAAUUCCGAGUGUAGAGGUGAAAUUCGUAGAUAUUCGGAAGAACACCAGUGGCGAAGGCGACUCGCUGGACAAGUAUUGACGCUGAGGUGCGAAAGCGUGGGGAGCAAACAGG
rnacentral:rRNA from 1 species